rnacentral:rRNA from 1 species
UACGAAGGGUGCAAACGUUGCUCGGAAUCAUUGGGCGUAAAGCGCACGUAGGCGGCUUCGCAAGUCGGAUGUGAAUCCCUCGGCUCAACCAAGGACGUGCAUCCGAAACUGCAAGCUUGAGUACAGAAGAGGAUCGCGGAAUUCCCGGUGUAGAGGUGAAAUUCGUAGAUAUCGGGAGGAACACCAGUGGCGAAGGCGGCGAUCUGGGCUGAUACUGACGCUGAGGUGCGAAAGCGUGGGGAGCAAACAGG